AAAACAACAAGACAUAAUUACUAAACCCAAAAACAUUAACACCUCCACAAACAAACCAUUUUUCCCCCUUAGUAUGGGCGACAGAAAAGGAAUAACGGAGCAAUAGAGAAAGUACCGCAAGGGAAAGCUGA
rnacentral:rRNA from 1 species